GGUCCCUCAUUGGCACCAGCUUUGACAUCGGGAUCCAGUUUUUGAACUGUUCAAAAAUUUCAUCUCGGUUUUCUAAAUCGUUGGUAGUACAUGAUGGUGUCUUCGC